AGCAUGAGAGUAGAGAUGAAAUCAAUAGGCAGCACAUCAUGGGAUGACCUCAUGUAUACUGAUAGGGAGGUGGGAUUCCUCAACUGAUUAGCUGUGCUUAGUGUCUCUUUCUAAGAAUAUGAUUCUGUGCUUUUAUUUCAAAAUGUAUUUUCUUUCCCUACCCUUUCUUGAAUGGGAAUGGCUCCCUGGGGUCCACUGAUACUGGCGUGAACAAAAGGAGCCUGGUGAGUUACCUGGCUUCUGCUUUGCUGUUGGAGAGAUACUUUGCUUCUUGCUGGCAACUCCCUUGAGGACAUGAGUCAGGUUACAAAUCCAUUCUGCACCUUGCUUUGCUGACAUAAUGGUUCAAGAUUAAAGAUAAACAUAUGAAAUUUAUUCAGAUACUCUUUGAAAGAAAUCGAACAACGACAACAAUGAGGAACUGGUCUGAUCACAUCUGACCUCAGAGACGCUUAAGAGUGACCCAAGCAGAAUUACUGAAUAUGUGGACAAUCACAGGAGUACGUUACUGCAGAUUCUGAAACUGAGAACAAAACAUGUUGGAAAUCACAACGGGUCAGAGCUGAUGAAGAGUUAUCUAGACUCAAAACGUUAGCUUGGGAUUUCCAGCACUGCCAG